CUUGGCAAUGUUUCCAUCUUCUCGGGCUAUCUUGUUGUACGAAUUGACCAGCUCACGUAUGGAGUAGGGCUCGUUAAAGUCGAUGCGCAUGAGGCCGUAGUUUGAUUUCAGGGCCUUCCAAAUGCCCGAAAUGGCCUUGCCGAAUGAUUCGGGUAUCUUCUUCUCGCCCUUUUGUUCGCGCACAAAGUUUCCGUCGACGAGACGCUCGUAGUUUACGGAAACGGGUACCAGCAGUGCGUCCGGUAUGCUGCCGUCCAUGAAGGCGUUCACAAUCACAGAAAGAAUGCCGCCCUUGGGCAUGCACGGCUUGCCAGUGCGCGUUCGUCCGCCCUCGAUGAAGAACUCGACGUUGUGGCCCUGCUUCAAGGCGUGGGUCAGAUACAGGUGUAGAGCAGCGCGAUAAAGCACGUCCUUCUUGCCCUCCACAGGAUCAAUCUUGCGUUUGAUGAAGAAAGCACCCAAACCACGUAGGAGCCCACCAAAGACCGGAAUUUGCAGGUUGUUGCCAGCGGCUACCAGAGGACUGCGUAUAUCGUUGUUCGAAAUCGACGGCCGAUAAGUCCUUCUCAGCUUUCAGGAUUGUUAUCGAUUGGCAGGAUGAUGUGGCAACGCCACGAGUAUUUAAUUUAAAAUAGUGCAAACUUUUA
rnacentral:lncRNA from 1 species